rnacentral:rRNA from 1 species
AUUAAGGGCGCACGGUGGAUGCCUUGGCACUAGAAGCCGACGAAGGACGUUACUAACGACGAUAUGCUUUGGGGAGCUGUAAGUAAGCUGUGAUCCGAAGAUAUCCGAAUGGGGGAACCCGGCAUUUAUAAAUGUCACUCAUAUAUGAACUGAUUAGUAUAUGAGAGGUAGACCUGGGGAACUGAAACAUCUUAGUACCCAGAGGAAGAGAAAGUAAACACGAUUCCCGUAGUAGCGGCGAGCGAAGUGGGAAGAGCCCAAACCAGUUUUUACUGGGGUUGUAGGACUUCAACGUGUGACACGACGAUUUAGUGGAAUAAUAUGGAAAGAUUAACCA